UCUUAUACUCUGUGUUAAAACUCUCUCACUUCUUCUUUUGGCAGAGGAGUCUGAGUGCUUCAUUUGCAGAGAUGUUGGCCUGGUGGGUGAAGAUCCUCUGCGAACCUUCUGCGACUGUAAGAACCUUGUAGCUCACCACAGCUGUCUGCUAACCUGGAUCAAAAAGGGUCUUGGACGAGAGGAGAGACUCAGAUGUAGCGUUUGCAAUGCUGAGUAUCAGCUGCAGAGAUGUGCACCCUGGCGUACUGUGGCCUCUCAGUGGCAGACCUGGCCCAUUCUAGCCAUCGCUGUUCUCCUGCUGGCUCUGGUGCCAUACGUGGUGUACCGGAUGAUGACUGCUUUUGACAAUCCCCCUCCACACUCGCUCUUCAAGUCAGCUGCAAUCGGCUUUGGCCUGCUUAGUGAAGCCCUGUUGCUCAAGUGCUUGUGCAGUUACUUCAGCCACCGACUUCAGCGAGCAGAGCAAAGCUCCUUUAGCCUCCAGCCUCGCAGAUCUGAGGAGCAUGGAGUCCAAACUAAUCUGAGGCAGUGUACCACGGCAGGGGUCAAAGGUUAGGACUCACAGACAUUGGUGGGAGAGAGGAACCACUUGGUUGUAAGCUCUGAGAGGACAGGAUGAGGGCUUCCACCGUUAAAUAUGACCAGAGGGAAUAAGACCUGUGGUGCAAGAAGAAGAAGAAAAAAGAAAAACACUGACUUAUUUAAACUUCUGGAGAGAUCCUGCUGCCGACACGGGCAGAGUUAGAACAGCCGAAACCCAGUGUAAGUGGCAGAAAAACUGAAAUGGAUGAUGCCGCCACUCUGUUUUCCUGGGUGGAAAAUAAAUGGAUGCUCUAUUGCUCUUGGAUGGAUUUUGAUGUUAUGAUCAAAACAGUGUUUAAUCAGUACAGUUGAGUUGGUACAAAGCUUUAUCAAUUUACUUUAUCAAUAUCUUAAAGCCUUAUAAUAGUUUUAUAUAAUUCAUUGCACAUGUCACUUUUUAAUUGUCUAACUUUUUCAAAGGAUUUUUGGAACUUCUGAGCCCAUUUGUCAAGGACUUUCAGAAACAGUGCUGAUACAAUCCAAAUAUAAAAGUAUUUUUUACUCAGUAAACAUUUUUACACUUAAGUAAACAUUUAAGUAAUACAUUUCUUGUUUUUCUUUUGGAUUGCUUUUGUAUUUCUUCAACCAGGGUAUAGGUAUGAAAAUAUCUUUUUUUUCCACCUUUCCAGAAACAAACUUAAUGAUCCAGCCAAAUUCCUUAUAAAAAUGUAAUUGCCAGUGCAAGCAGUGCUUAUGUUCUCAUAAUAAAUUUUGUUUUUCUAUGACAUUUUAACGAAAUGUGUAAAGAUUUUUUUUCUUCCAUCUGUUGUCUGUUCUUCAUCUUUGCACUCAGA
ensembl:lncRNA